GACGAACGCUGGCGGCGUACUUAACACAUGCAAGUCGAACGGAAAGGCCCUUGGGGUACUCGAGUGGCGAACGGGUGAGUAACACGUGGGUGAUCUGCCCUGCACUUUGGGAUAAGCCUGGGAAACUGGGUCUAAUACCGAAUAGGACCACGCGCUUCAUGGUGUGUGGUGGAAAGCUUUUGCGGUGUGGGAUGGGCCCGCGGCCUAUCAGCUUGUUGGUGGGGUAAUGGCCUACCAAGGCGACGACGGGUAGCCGGCCUGAGAGGGUGACCGGCCACACUGGGACUGAGAUACGGCCCAGACUCCUACGGGAGGCAGCAGUGGGGAAUAUUGCACAAUGGGCGCAAGCCUGAUGCAGCGACGCCGCGUGAGGGAUGACGGCCUUCGGGUUGUAAACCUCUUUCAAUAGGGACGAAGCGCAAGUGACGGUACCUAUAGAAGAAGCACCGGCCAACUACGUG
rnacentral:rRNA from 1 species